AGCUCAGCAGUGCAGUGCCUGCCUGGCAAGCAUGAGGCCCUGGGUUCGAUUCCCAG
rnacentral:tRNA from 1 species